rnacentral:rRNA from 1 species
AGCGAACGCUGGCGGCAGGCUUAACACAUGCAAGUCGAACGCCCCGCAAGGGGAGUGGCAGACGGGUGAGUAACACGUGGGAACGUACCCUUUGGUUCGGAAUAACUUGGGGAAACUCAAGCUAAUACCGGAUAAGCCCUUAUGGGGAAAGGUUUACUGCCGAAGGAUCGGCCCGCGUCUGAUUAGCUAGUUGGUGAGGUAAUGGAUCACCAAGGCGACGAUCAGUAGCUGGUCUGAGAGGAUGAUCAGCCACACUGGGACGGAGACACGGCCCAGACUCCUGCGGGAGGCAGCAGUGGGGAAUAUUGGACAAUGGGGGCAACCCUGAUCCAGCCAUGCCGCGUGAGUGAUGAAGGCCUUAGGGUUGUAAAGCUCUUUUACCCGGGACGAUAAUGACUGUACCGGGAGAAUAAGCCCCGGCUAACUUCGUGCCAGCCGCCGCCGUAA